UCCCUCUCCACCCGACCCACCGUCACGCCUUCUUGCUGGUCGGUGAAAUCAGCGCUCUGCACCGGGAUGACAUCGAACUCUUCCACCACCGAGUUCAACGCCCAAUUUGACUUCCGCCCGUUUCUCGAGAAAAUCGAACGCUCCGGAAGCUUCGGCGCGUGGAAAUUGAGGGUGGCGCGCGGAUGAGAGGGCGCGGGAGCUCGUUUUGCUGUGGUGAAGGCAGUGAACCUCUGAGAAGCUGUGGCGUGGACCGAAGCCAUGGCCAAGUUGGAAUGAGAUCGCGACUCGGGAGGAACUGAGUUGCCG
rnacentral:misc_RNA from 1 species